rnacentral:rRNA from 1 species
AUACAUGCAAGUCGAACGAACUUCCGUUAAUUGAUUAUGACGUACUUGUACUGAUUGAGAUUUUAACACGAAGUGAGUGGCGAACGGGUGAGUAACACGUGGGUAACCUGCCCAGAAGUAGGGGAUAACACCUGGAAACAGAUGCUAAUACCGUAUAACAGAGAAAACCGCAUGGUUUUCUUUUAAAAGAUGGCUCUGCUAUCACUUCUGGAUGGACCCGCGGCGUAUUAGCUAGUUGGUGAGGUAAAGGCUCACCAAGGCAGUGAUACGUAGCCGACCUGAGAGGGUAAUCGGCCACAUUGGGACUGAGACACGGCCCAGACUCCUACGGGAGGCAGCAGUAGGGAAUCUUCCACAAUGGACGCAAGUCUGAUGGAGCAACGCCGCGUGAGUGAAGAAGGGUUUCGGCUCGUAAAGCUCUGUUGUUAAAGAAGAACGUGGGUAAGAGUAACUGUUUACCCAGUGACGGUAUUUAACCAGAAAGCCACGGCUAACUACGUGCCAGCAGCCGCGGUAAUACGUAGGUGGCAAGCGUUAUCCGGAUUUAUUGGGCGUAAAGCGAGCGCAGGCGGUCUUUUAAGUCUAAUGUGAAAGCCUUCGGCUCAACCGAAGAAGUGCAUUGGAAACUGGGAGACUUGAGUGCAGAAGAGGACAGUGGAACUCCAUGUGUAGCGGUGAAAUGCGUAGAUAUAUGGAAGAACACCAGUGGCGAAGGCGGCUGUCUGGUCUGCAACUGACGCUGAGCUAAAAAGCAUGGGU